rnacentral:misc_RNA from 1 species
UUUCAAAGUCUCCCUAGGUCUCUGUGUCUUAUGCAUGGUAACAAAGGGAGGUAUUGGACAAAUUGAGUGGUGCUAGCUGCCCAAUUGUCUGAAACCAAUUGUCCCAAUGGCCACAGUGGCUUGUGAGUCCAACGGUCACAAAGUGCAACAGAUGCUUGUAGUCUCUUAUUACCACUUUGCUGCUGGCUCAUGUCACGGGGUGCUGGGACCCACUCUGUACACGGCAGUGAUGGGUGAUCCUACUCUGCCGAUCAACUUGAUCUGAAAUCGGGCAAGAAAACCCGCUGAACUUAAGCAUAUCAAUAAGCGGAGGAAAAGAAACUAACAAGGAUUCCCCUAGUAACGGCGAGUGAAGCGGGAACAGCUCAAAUUUGAAAUCCCCCAGGUCCGCAUGCCUGCGAGAAUUGUAGUUUAGAGAAGCGUCUUCCAGGGUGGCAUGGGUAUAAGUCCUCUGGAAUGGGGCAUCAUAGAGGGUGAGAAUCCCGUUUAUGAUCCAUGGCCUCCACUUUGAUGUGAUACGCUUUCCAAGAGUCAGGUAGUUUGGGAUUGCUGCCUAAAAUGGGUGGUAAAUACCAUCUAAAGCUAAAUAUUGGCGAGAUACCGAUAGCGAACAAGUACCGUGAGGGAAAGAUGAAAAGAACUUUGAAAAGAGAGUUAAACAGUACGUGAAAUUGCCAAAAGGGAAACGCUUGGAGCCAGUAUUGCAUGCACACAAUCAGCCGCCCAGCUGGAAACGGUCAGUGCGGUGCACUUGUGUGUAUGCAGGUCAACAUCAGUUUGACCUUGGGUAAAAAGCUGUGCGAAGGUAGCUUGGGCUUUGGCCUGAGUGUUAUAGCGCACUGUGAUGCCCAGGAUUAGACUGAGGUCUGCAGCGUCAAUUGGGUACCUGGCUGCCUCCCAAAUCUCGUCUCUGGACAGCUCGCUGACUAGGGAUGGGCCUAGGGAGCCCGGUCGGCUUGCCACACCAACGCUUGGGAUGUUGACGAAAUGGCUUCAAACGACCCGUCUUGAAACACGGACCAAGGAGUCUAACAUAUAUGCGAGUAUUUGGGUGGCAAACCCUUAUGCGAAAUGAAAGUGAACUUAGGUGGGAUCUUCGGUGCACCAUCGACCGGUCUGGAUUUUUUUGAUAGAUCUGAGUAAGAGCAUAUCUGUUGGGACCCGAAAGAUGGUGAACUAUGCCUGAAUAGGGUGAAGCCAGAGGAAACUCUGGUGGAGGCUCGUAGCGAUUCUGACGUGCAAAUCGAUCGUCAAAUUUGGGUAUAGGGGCGAAAGACUAAUCGAACCAUCUAGUAGCUGGUUCCCUC